GGACCCAUUUAAACACCAUGCUCUCUCCUGGGCUACCACAGAAGGGCCCCCUCCCCAUACAACACUCAUGACCACCAGCAGGCGAACUCCUUGGGUCCCAAGUGGGGAAACGGGGGCCCUAGGCAGCAGGAUGUGAGCAGGUGCCCCAGCACCUCCAUGCACCCCCGAGAGGGGGAGCACAACUUGGUUACAGCAAGACCAACCCACAGACCACAGAGUCCUGACCUUGACCACAGGAAGUAGAUGGGAAGGGCCACCACCUCCCUGUCACUCUGUCACCAUGAAAGGCCCCAAGGUAACUGGGAGCUGGAGGCUGCUAAGAAUAGUCAGCCCCCCCAGCCCCACCCACCCCACAGUGGAGCCAGACCAAGGGUGCAUCUGGGAGCGCAGUGGGUAGACGGAUGAAGGCCAAGCUCCCGGAGGAGAGGCAGAGCCCAGAGGUGGGGCUGAGCACUGGCUGGGCAGCCAGGCUUCCCUCCAUGUGGGAGGCAGUAGCAGCGCCGACCCCCAGCCCCUGCAGCCCCUGGGAGGCUUGGCAGAACCUUCCUGGGUACAAGGGUGCGUCCCUUGCCAAGAUUAAGGUUCAAAGCCCUACAGGAGGCUACUUGAGAAGCCCAGGAGCCACUGACCUGCCAGACCUCUGCAUCAGAGCUGCCCUUGACCUCCACCCACCCGCUGGGGAGGGUGCUACCGAAACCCAGCAACCUCAGGAAGUGAACCCUAAGCCAAGCUGCCUGAGAAAACCCAGCUCCGCUGGCCCCAGAGAACUUUGCAUCGGAGCCUGGCCAGAGGGUCCUGCUCGGAGAAGGAAGCCACCUGUGCUGCCGGGUCAGCGCCCCCCAGAUAAGCAGAACACUCCAGUGAAGACCCCAAGACAAGGAGAGACGUCAUCUUUAUGAGACCCGAGCACAGGGACAGCCGUCCUCUACAAGCUAAAGCCGGAACCCAGGGAGGCAGCAGCCCACAGCUUUCGUGUGGACAUAAAGGAACGGCAAUGAACACCUGCAGAUCAGUUUUAAGAAAUAAAACAAUCAGGAAAUGGAAGAUGUGGUCUCAGACGAGGGAAAACCCAAGAAGAUGGUGGACCCUGAAUAUGACAAAUUUUGUGCAUCAUAAAUGCAUAACAGGGGGCUGGGGCUGGGGCUCAGCGGGAGAGCGCUCACCUAGCAUGAGCGAGGCCCUGGGUCCGA